CUGGUUUGAAAGAUGGUUUCGGCUAUCGCUGAUAGAUGGGCCCGCGGUGCAUUAGCUAGUUGGUGGGGUAAUGGCUCACCAAGGCAACGAUGCAUAGCCGACCUGAGAGGGUGAUCGGCCACACUGGGACUGAGACACGGCCCAGACUCCUACGGGAGGCAGCAGUAGGGAAUCUUCCGCAAUGGACGAAAGUCUGACGGAGCAACGCCGCGUGUGUGAAGAAGGUUUUCGGAUCGUAAAGCACUGUUGUUAGAGAAGAACAAGGAUAAGAGUAACUGCUUGUCCCUUGACGGUAUCUAACCAGAAAGCCACGGCUAACUACGUGCCAGCAGCCGCGGUAAUACGUAGGUGGCAAGCGUUGUCCGGAUUUAUUGGGCGUAAAGCGAGCGCAGGCGGUUUCUUAAGUCUGAUGUGAAAGCCCCCGGCUUAACCGGGGAGGGUCAUUGGAAACUGAGAGACUUGAAUGCAGGAGAGGUAAGUGGAAUUCCACGUGUAGCGGUGAAAUGCGUAGAUAUGUGGAGGAACACCAGUGGCGAAGGCGGCUUACUGGCCUGUAAUUGACGCUGAGGCUCGAAAGCGUGGGGAGCAAACAGGAUUAGAUACCCUGGUAGUCCACGCCGUAAACGAUGAGUGCUAAGUGUUAGGGGGUUUCCGCCCCUUAGUGCUGCAGCUAACGCAUUAAGCACUCCGCCUGGGGAGUACGACCGCAAGGUUGAAACUCAAAGGAAUUGACGGGGGCCCGCACAAGUGGUGGAGCAUGUGGUUUAAUUCGAAGCAACGCGAAGAACCUUACCAGGUCUUGACAUCCUUUGACCACUCUGGAGACAGAGCUUUCCCUUCGGGGACAAAGUGACAGGUGGUGCAUGGUUGUCGUCAGCUCGUGUCGUGAGAUGUUGGGUUAAGUCCCGCAACGAGCGCAACCCUUGAUUUUAGUUGCCAGCAUUUAGUUGGGCACUCUAAAGUGACUGCCGGUGCAAGCCGGAGGAAGGUGGGGAUGACGUCAAAUCAUCAUGCCCCUUAUGACCUGGGCUACACACGUGCUACAAUGGAUAAUACAAAGGGUUGCCAAACCGCGAGGUCGAGCUAAUCCCAUAAAAUUAUUCUCAGUUCGGAUUGUAGGCUGCAACUCGCCUACAUGAAGCCGGAAUCACUAGUAAUCGUGGAUCAGCAUGCCACGGUGAAUACGUUCCCGGGCCUUGUACACACCGCCCGUCACACCACGAGAGUUUGUAACACCCGAAGUCGGUAGGGUAACCUUUAUGGAGCCAGCCGCCGAAGGUGGGACAGAUAAUUGGGGUGAAGUCGUAACAAGGUAGCCGUAUCGGAAGGUGCGGCUGGAUCACCUCCUUUCUAAGGAA
rnacentral:rRNA from 1 species